rnacentral:rRNA from 1 species
GCUACGGGAGGCUGCAGUGAGGAAUAUUGGUCAAUGGGCUAAGGCCUGAACCAGCCAAGUCGCGUGAGGGAAGACGGUCCUAUGGAUUGUAAACCUCUUUUGUCGGGGAGCAAAGCGAGUCACGUGUGACUCAUUGCGAGUACCCGAAGAAAAAGCAUCGGCUAACUCCGUGCCAGCAGCCGCGGUAAUACGGAGGAUGCGAGCGUUAUCCGGAUUUAUUGGGGUUAAAGGGUGCGCAGGCGGAGGUGCAAGUCAGCGGUCAAAUUGCGGGGCUCAACCCCGUACUGCCGUUGAAACUGCAUCCCUUGAGUGCGCGAGAAGUAUGCGGAAUGCGUGGUGUAGCGGUGAAAUGCAUAGAUAUCACGCAGAACUCCGAUUGCGAAGGCAGCAUACCGGCGCGCAACUGACGCUCAUGCACGAAAGCGUGGGUAUCGAACAGGAUUAGAUACCCCUGUAGUC